UGAUUUACAGAGACCCACAACUGGCCAAGAUGCAUAAGAGACCACAGAAUACUCGACCUUAAAUGGAACAAAUACAAUGUACUCUGCUUCCAAGUCUCAGGGAUCAUUGUAGAAGAAGGUUGGAAAGAGUAUAAGAGCCUGGGUCAGAGAAUGACUACAAGAAAACUGUGUCUUCUGGGCACAGCAGGGUCACCACAUACGUGAACUCACAGUGUUGUGACACAGCAGCAGACGACCUGUGAAAGCUCAAGACACACUGAAUUCUAGCAUGAUGAAGAAAAGUGAACAUGGGAUCACUCUCAGCGGAAAAGCUGAUUGUUAGUUGCUGAGAGGGGGAGAAUCAGUUGUCUCUAACAGUAAAGCCCCUGGAGGAAGACUUCAAUGUAUUAAUUAUUUAAUUCCCUUCUAUACAUGUCCUGUUUUCCAACCUUUAGUUAGGAUAUUGAAGGAAAGACUCUAUGAUUGAAGACACCACAUAUUUUGGACAGAGAACUUUGAGGAAUCAAGCUGUAUGUGAUCUAGAAACUUCCUCCCAGAAAAAUAGCUCUCAGAGCACCAAAAGGAGCAAUGAAAGCUGCCAAUAUAGAGAAAUAAUCAGCAGUUCUGUGAAGCCUAUUAACUGCAAUGACCAGCAUGUCAAAAUACCCCCAAUGGUAAAAUAGUGUCACUUAUAUCACAGGGUAACCAACAACAAUCUAGUUGGACUUAAGACCGACUCAGUUGGAGAGACUAAUGCCUGGGUAUGUAUUCACCUGUGCUUGAUGAGUCCAUGGGUCCUGAUGAGUGCAAGAGAACCUUCUACUUCUACUUCACUAAACCAGCAUAAUUUCUAACUACAUUCUGAAUAAACAUUUAAGUGUAUCUCCCUUCUUUCCAUAAAGAAGCUUUCUUACAUCAGGCAGAGAACAUCAUAGAAAGCCAUAACUGGUCAAA